ACCUGGUCUUGACAUCCCGGAGACCCUUAGGAAACUAGGGGUGCUUCCAUCUGGAAGAAUCUGGAGACAGGUGGCUGCAUGGCUGUCGUCAGCUCGUGUCGUGAGAUGUUGGGUUAAGUCCCGCAACGAGCGCAACCCUUGCCUUUAGUUGCCAGCAGUUCGGCUGGGCACUCUAAAGGGACUGCCGGGUGUUAAACCGGAGGAAGGUGGGGGAUGACGUCAAGUCCUCAUGGCCUUUAUGACCAGGGCUACACACGUACUACAAUGGCCGAUACAAAGGGCAGCGACACUGCGAGGUGAAGCCAAUCCCGUAAAAUCGGUCUCAGUCCGGAUUGGAGUCUGCAACUCGACUCCAUGAAGUUGGAAUCGCUAGUAAUCGUGGGUCAGCAUGCCACGGUGAAUACGUUCCCGGGCCUU
rnacentral:rRNA from 1 species